CUAAACCAAUUCAAAACGCAAAUUGGAUGGAGAAACGUGCAAACUGAGUCAAUCUGGUUAACCAGCGAUCGCUGUGUAAUUGCCGCUAAAUGAUACGAGCCUUCUAAUGAUCGAUUCACCACCGACUACAGUGAUUCCAUGUCGUGCCUGCUCCUGUCUCCAGAGACUUGGAUUAUGGGUAUCUCAGAUUUUUUUGGAACUAUUAAAGUCUCACUGCUUUCCUUCUACACCAAUCAUUUUUGCAACUUACAAUUAAACCCAUGUCACGUUUUUGAGAAUCUUAUGUGGGUUUUUGUUUUACUGUUAUUCUUGUCCUGAUCAGCAUUUUACAUUGAAAUUGGGAAGCUGUGCAGUUUUCUUUCUAGCCAUAAUUGAAUUAAUCUAGCUGCUUUUUGUUAUUGUCGGAUUGCAUUCUAUAUUUUGCUUCUUUCUGUGUGUGUGUGUGUGUUCUUGUUGGGAAAUAAAGAAGAAUUAAGCCACAUAAGAUGGGUAUGCAUGCAAAUUUGAUUGGAUUCCCUUUGCUGAUUACUUACAUAUUACUGCUGUGCAAUUUCUAUAUUUGUAUUCACGUUAAUCCUGAUUGCUGAUAUGGUAUCAUUUUCCUAAGAAGUAUGAUGAUGUGGGCUGAUGAGUUAAUGAUUCUUCACUUUACUUCUUGUUGUAAAGCAUGUCAAUUUAAGUUUUAGUAGACUAGGGAAUCGCAUGGAUUUUCCUAACAUACCCAUGGAUGGAAGAAUUUUCUGGUGUGAUUAUUUGGUUAAGACAGUCAAGGAGAAUGCUGUGAUAAUAAAUUUGACCUUUUCUGCUGAAAUUACUUUUGCUGCUAGUUAUUAUAUGCUUUGUCAAUUCAUCCAUGACCAAAGCAAAAGGGUAAGGGCUCAAGCUAGAUUCUUGUGGAGUCCAACUGCGAUUGGACUAAAUUGGAAACUCAAUUUGUUCUGUACAAGUUGAUAAAGGGGUGAAUUGAAAUCUUUCUUCGUGAGAUUUUAUUCUAAUCUCGUUCAAUUGCUCUUAUGCUCUUGGUUGAAUUGGUAACUUUAUUUACAAUGCAUACGUGGCAGGUACAUUACGUGGAAGUCUGUCAAAUGAGCUUGCAGAAAUUGAUAUUCUAAGGUUCCUACAUUAGCUUGAAAAAUGAGCAAAAACUAUAAAAUUUUUCUGGCUAGAGUGGUUUCAAUUAAAGAUGAAGUUAUCAUGCUUUUUUGGCCGUCCAACAUCAGUGAUGCAGGAUCUUCUAGAGAUUUUAGAACUACCUAAUUUAGGAAGAAAUAUAGUAAGUAGUAUUUUAUCUUAUUGAGGAAGUUUGAAUUGGUUUGAGAUUUCUAAUUUGUAUUUGAAUAGUAUUUUCUUGUUUGAGAUUCCAAAUCCUACUACUAGGAUUAUAAAUACUACCAUAAAUACCUAUGCCUUCUAGAUAUUUUGGUAAAGCUUUUUAUAUUAUUAUUGACAAUUUGAGAAAUGAUUUUGAGAAUUAAUACGAGUUUUGAGAAUUGUUUCUCAUCCCCUUUUGUGUAUUCUAUUUGUUCCACAUCAACUAGCUUUUAGAAUACACUUUUUAUCUUUUUUUUUUUCUUUCGGUUUACUUGCAUUCCUUACUGCAUAUAUGUGAAAAGUGGCAAAGUGCAGUAGUGCACUUAACCUUUUCUGUGGAUGACCACUGCUAUUCAUUCUUUCUCUCCCUUUUUAAUAUUUGACGUGUUCUUCUCUUUCCACCUCAGUCUUAAAAGGGUUUUUAUAUAUGUAUAAAGUAUGAUUAUUGAUUGAGAACCCAUACAGAUGCUGUACGAUGGAUGAAGUAAGCAGGUGCUUCAAUAGCAUUUCAUGAUCACAAGUGCCUAGGAGGCGGCAAUACAUCCUCAAAUAUUUUGGGCAAUGGUCUUUGUGAGAGCAAGGCCUCUGCGUUUGCUUAUCUCAAAUGGUCGAACUUUGUUUGCGCUGUGCCAUCUUGCAAACCCAGACAUUCCAAUGCUUAUCACGGACGUUGUAAUUAGAAUCUUCAACCAGAAUACUUGAGUGGAGAAAAAGAAUUGGGCAUAUUUAGAUGAUGGUACAGAAAAUGUCUUCUUUAGAAAAAGAGUAAAUUUUAAGUGGUAGGGCAUUGGUUUAGCCAAAAACGCAAAAGCUCCAUGAACCUCCAAUAAUUACGGCAAAGAAGAAGCUAUUGGUAAGCUAUUUUCUGUAUAAGAUUACUGCAUAGAUUUGAAUCCUUCAUUUCUUCUAGCAAGCACUUCAAUCUUUAUAUACUUUUUUCAUCAAACUCAAUAUUUGAUUUGUAUGGCUCAUAUGAAGAAAUUGUUGCUACUUAAAUAUUUCCUUUACUUCUAGAUUCCAAAAUUACAAGUAUACAGGCAUUUACAAGAUAGAAGCAUCAUGAAAAAGAAAUUAACAAAACCACUAAACAGAUAUCUCUCUGAUCGAAAUCAAUUAGAUUCAGAAACAUACAGUAUUAGUACUACAGCUUAAGUAAUAACUAGUGGAACCCUCAUCUAAACAAGUGCUCUUUAAAUUUUUUCCCCUUUAAACUAUCGUUUGAUGCAGGACUUAGUAUGAUGGGACAAUGCCAUAUCCAGCUUCUGCCAUUAGUGUUGUGGAGAACAACUGAUCCACUUCAACUUCUACAUCUGUUCUCUUUGCAAAUCGGCCUUUGAUCCUGGGUCGAGUCUCUGCAUAUGCCUUCCUUGAAGCAUACCUUAUUGUCUUCUCAAAUUUCCUUGUCUUCUUUUUCUCUCUGUAUCUUAGCACCCUUGCCUCCCUGGCCCUUGGACUAUAUUGGGAUGGCAUCUGCAUGGGAGGACUGGAGAAAAGGUCAAUAGUCCCUUUUGGAGGUCUCGAGUGUAAGAUCGAUGUCUCACUCAUUGUUGAAUCAGGCACCACUCCAACAUCCAUUGAUGAAAUGGAGACCUAAUUACAUAAACAAAACAAAUGUUUAGAAUGAGAUCAGAAUCAAAUGCAGUUUUCAGGAAUUAUUUGUAACAUUUCUAAUUAUUGUCCUUAAGGUCACAUGCUAUAUGCAAAUGGAACAGUAAUGAGAAAGGAAAAUAAGGCUUUCUGGCAUGCUAAACGCCUUUGCAAGCUCAAGAAAGUUUCAAGAA